CUGGCUGGCUCAAUUGGUAGAGCAAGCAAGUUUUGAUCUCAGGGUUGUGAGGUCAAGCACACAUUGGGUG
rnacentral:tRNA from 1 species